GAUGAACGCUGGCGGCGUGCUUAACACAUGCAAGUCGAACGGAAAGGCCCAAGCUUGCUUGGGUACUCGAGUGGCGAACGGGUGAGUAACACGUGGGUGAUCUGCCCUGCACUUCGGGAUAAGCCUGGGAAACUGGGUCUAAUACCGGAUAGGACCACAUUUUGGAUGGUGUGGUGGAAAGUUUUUCGGUGUGGGAUGAGCUCGCGGCCUAUCAGCUUGUUGGUGGGGUAAUGGCCUACCAAGGCGUCGACGGGUAGCCGGCCUGAGAGGGUGUACGGCCACAUUGGGACUGAGAUACGGCCCAGACUCCUACGGGAGGCAGCAGUGGGGAAUAUUGCACAAUGGGCGCGAGCCUGAUGCAGCGACGCCGCGUGGGGGAUGACGGCCUUCGGGUUGUAAACUCCUUUCGCUAGGGACGAAGCGCAAGUGACGGUACCUGGAGAAGAAGCACCGGCUAACUACGUG
rnacentral:rRNA from 1 species